UGCACACACAUCUUCUCGCUGUGGGAUGAACAAACAUUAGCCAUUUUCUUGUCCUUCGGUUCCCUAGAGCAGCAGCGUCUGCCAGAAGUCGUGUGAGUAGGAAAGAGAGAACUCAACACUCCACCCUGUCAUCUAAUGGAGCUUCCUGUUUCCUGUUUGGAUGUCACCUUUGAUCAUACCAGGCUCUGGUUGCCUAGGAUCCUCAUUGGUUAGGCACUUCUAUCGCUCAACGCAGAAAUCCAACAUGGUGGUGGCCAAAACACUGUGUACUUAUUCACAAUGCAGUAGUUGGUAGCUGCAUUUUUGACCUGGAUUCACUUGGGAUCACAUCUCGAUGCAUAUUAAAAUGACAUGCAC
ensembl:lncRNA